AUGGGCGACAUCCACAAGGUAGUACUCCUGCCAAACCCCCAAGUGCCCGAUUUUUGCAAGUGUUUCUGUUGCGGGUUGCAACUUAAGCUGAUGCUUCUUGUUUAUGUAGCCACUAAAAUUUGUACUCCACCAUGUAAGGCUAGUUUAGAAUUGAGGCUAAACCCUUCUCUGUGUAGUAUGAUUCCGAGCAAACAUAUGUCAAUAAUGCUGAAACUUUUCACGUUGGCGUUGCUAUGUUUGAUGUGGUGGUGCCAAACAAAACUCAUAUGCUUAUGUUGCGCUUACUUUUAA
rnacentral:rRNA from 1 species